rnacentral:lncRNA from 13 species
AUGGCUCAUCUGGUUUCGACAGGAUGGAAGGAAAUGACAAAAAUAACAUGCUGGAUCCUUUUACUGGAGGUGGUAGCAUGGAUGGAAGGAAAUGACAAAAAUAACAUGCUGGAUCCUUUUACUGGAGGUGGUAGCAUGGUGGGAGGAGAUGGGGAGGAUACCUAUGUAGUGAACACUGGAUAUGGAACCAACAUCAUGAUUGAAAACUUUGCAGAGGAUGAAAGAAUGGAUACUGUGUUGUUUGAGAUGGAUUUCCUUGGUGGUGGUCAACUCACAGUUCAGUCUGACAAGCAUGAUGUACUUGUGAGCACAGGUACACAGGGGCAUAAAAUUCAGGUCAGAGUGCUCAACUAUAAUUCAGGGCAACAACACCAACACCUUAGCUUCCAGAGCUCUGAUGGAGUGCAUUUUUGGGUUAGAUCUCCAGUUGGAAACAAAACGCGUAGCUUUCAAAAGCCUUGGAUUGAAGCUUACAAAGUGACAAUGAAAGGAAAACUGGGAGACUGCCAAAUAGAUCUGAGUUCUCAAUCAAAUUUAUCAUUGGUUCACACUGUGCAGGGCUGUCCCCAUGACUCCAAUUACAUUACAGGUAAUGAGCAGGAGAACGUACUCUUCGGUGGCAUCAAGGAUGAUGCACUGGAUGGAGGGGCCGGCCAUGACACCUUGCUGGGGGGUCAGGGCAAUGACAUCCUGAUUGGGAACAUAGGAGAUGACACUCUUUAUGGAGAGGAAGGGAGUGACACCAUGAUGGGCGGCUCAGGCUCUGACACCUUUGUUCCCGGACCAGGGGCUGAUCUAGUGGACGGGGGCCCAGGGAGAGACACUGUGCUGUACCAGGGGGAUCAUGAGAGGGGUGAGGGCGUUUACGUCAACCUGCUGAGCGGAGAAUGCCGUCAGGCAGAUGCCGAGGGAGACGUGUUGAAGGAUGUUGAGAAUGUGAUUGGCACUAUCUACUCAGAUAUCUUGGUGUCUGGCUACGAACCUGCCCUACUAAAAGGCUCUGACGGCAACGACAUUCUAGUGUCCCUUGUGGGAGGAGAUUACUUGAUUGGAGGAGAAGGAAGUGACAUUUACAUGAUGGUUUCCCACCAUGGCUCAGUGAUCAUAGACAACUGUGCCACAGAUAAUGCCACGGACAUUGUGUACCUGCGCUCUCUGUCUGAGAAGUCUGUUGACUGUUCAUAUCUACUUGACGGAGUGUUUCUGACAUUUUAUGGACUCGGCGACACUACUGUUGACAUAGAGCUGCGAAACUGGGUCAACUUCAGUCAUGAGUGUGGCCAUCUUAUGCUGGUCCUCAAUGAGGGUGAAAUAUCUGUAGAUGAACUCAUGCAGGAGUGUGAGUUGAGAUAUAACAUGCAAAGAGUCGUGGCAACUGUUACAUUAAUCCUUCUACUUGCCGUUUUACAUGGCAUUAUUUUGGUAAUACCUGUAAUCCAUAGAAAGAGGAAGAGGGGACAAGGAGGGAAAGACAGCAGUGAUAGAGCUACUGAAAUGGGGAAAGACACAAUAGAAGUGCGAGAAGAGGACGCACCUCUCCAGGGCUUAACUUCUCAACCUAAAGUAGAGGAAGAAGAGGAAGAGAAGGAAACUGAAUGA